rnacentral:misc_RNA from 1 species
AAGUCGUAACAAGGUUUCCGUAGGUGAACCUGCGGAAGGAUCAUUAUUGAAAAUAAAUGGGUUGUCUGCUGGUCUUCUCGGGGCAACGUGCACGCCCAAAUCCACAACACACCCUGUGAACCCCACCGUAGGCCCUCGGGCUUAUGUAUAUCAUAUAACUCUGAUCAUAGAAUGUAAAUCAUUUUGCCUUCAAAACGCAAUGAAAUACAA